AGCAAGAGCCAGAGGGAAGGAGCUGCCAACCAGGCACAGCGGAGAACACUGGAACCAUGACAACCAGUCACCAGCCUCAGGACAGGUAUAAGGCUGUCUGGCUCAUCUUCUUUGUCCUGGGUCUGGGGACACUGCUCCCCUGGAAUUUUUUUAUAACAGCAACCCAGUAUUUCACAAGCCGCCUGAACACGUCCCAGAAUAUAUCCUUGGUCACCAACCAAUCAUGCGAAAGCACCGAGGCCUUGGCUGACCCCUCAGUGUCCUUGCCAGCCCGGAGUUCUCUCAGUGCCAUCUUCAACAAUGUCAUGACCCUGUGUGCCAUGUUGCCCUUGCUGAUCUUCACCUGCCUCAACUCUUUCCUGCAUCAGAAGGUGUCUCAGUCCCUUCGGAUCUUGGGCAGCCUGCUGGCUAUCCUGUUGGUGUUCCUCG
rnacentral:lncRNA from 1 species